UACGGAGUGUGCAAGCGUUACUCGGAAUCACUGGGCAUAAAGGGCGCGUAGGCGGGUUUCCAAGUCGGUUGUGAAAUCCCUCGGCUUAACCGGGGAACUGCGUCCGAUACUGUAGAGCUUGAGUUCGGGAGAGGCGAGUGGAAUUCCUGGUGUAGCGGUGAAAUGCGCAGAUAUCAGGAGGAACACCGAUGGCGAAGGCAGGUCUCUGGGCAUUAACUGACGCUGAGGCGCGAAAGCGUGGGGAGCAAACAGG
rnacentral:rRNA from 1 species